rnacentral:rRNA from 1 species
AGCGUUGGGAAACUGACGGUAAUACUCAAUAAAGUCGAGAGACCAAAGGUUUACUUCCGGAAGAGCGGCCGAUGCGAUAUUAGGUAGUUGGUGGGGUAAUGGCCUACCAAGCCUGAGAUGUCUAGGGGGUGUGAGAGCAUGGCCCCCACCACUGGGACUGAGAUACUGCCCAGACACCUACGGGUGGCUGCAGUCGAGGAUCUUCGUCAAUGGGCGAAAGCCUGAACGAGCGACGCCGCGUGCGGGAUGAAGGCCCUUGGGUUGUAAACCGCUGUCAGGGGGGAUGAAACCGUAAGGUUGACAGAGCCCCAGAGGAAGCACGGGCUAAGUUCGUGCCAGCAGCCGCGGUAAUACGAACUGUGCGAACGUUACUCGGAAUCACUGGGCUUACAGGGUGCGUAGGUGGCUUGUUAAGCAGGGUGUGAAAUCCCUCGGCUCAACCGAGGAACUGCGCUCUGAACUGGCGAGCUAGAGUAUGCUAGAGGUGAAUGGAACAUCCAGUGGAGCGGUGAAAUGUGUUG